rnacentral:rRNA from 1 species
UACGUAGGUGGCGAGCGUUAUCCGGAAUUAUUGGGCGUAAAGAGGGAGCAGGCGGCAGCAAGGGUCUGUGGUGAAAGGCUGAAGCUUAACUUCAGUGUGCCAGAGAAACCGGGCAGCUAGAGUGCAGGAGAGGAUCGUGGAAUUCCAUGUGUAGCGGUGAAAUGCGUAGAUAUAUGGAGGAACACCAGUGGCGAAAGCGACGAUCUGGACUGCAACUGACGCUCAGUCCCGAAAGCGUGGGGAGCAAAUAGG